rnacentral:rRNA from 1 species
GAUGAACGCUGGCGGCGUGCCUAAUACAUGCAAGUCGAGCGAACAGACGAGGAGCUUGCUCCUUUGACGUUAGCGGCGGACGGGUGAGUAACACGUAGGUAACCUACCUAUAAGACUGGGAUAACUUCGGGAAACCGGAGCUAAUACAGGAUAAUAUUUCGAACCGCAUGGUUCGAUAGUGAAAGAUGGCUUUGCUAUCACUUAUAGAUGGACCUGCGCCGGAUUAGCUAGUUGGUAAGGUAACGGAUUACCAAGGCAACGAUACGUAGCCGACCUGAGAGGGUGAUCGGCCACACAGGAACUGAGACACGGUCCAGACUCCUACGGGAGGCAGCAGUAGGGAAUCUACCGCAAUGGGCGAAAGCCUGACGGAGCAACGCCGCGUGAGUGAUGAAGGUCUUCGGAUCGUAAAACACUGUUAUUAGGGAAGAACAAACGUGUAAGUAACUGUGCACGUCUUGACGGUACCUAAUCAGAAAGCCACGGCUAACUACGU